AUGAGUAUCAUCUGCUGGAACUGUCGAGGCCUGGGGUCGGACUCGACAGUUGGCGAGCUUCGCUGGCUUGUGAAGCUCUACCGACCCUCCCUCCUCUUUCUUUCUGAAACAAAGAUGAGGGAUUCGCGGGUGAAGAAUUUCAUGUGGUCAUUGGGUUUUUCUGGCUGUUAUGCUAUC
rnacentral:rRNA from 1 species